rnacentral:rRNA from 1 species
AGAGUUUGAUCCUGGCUCAGGACGAACGCUGGCGGCGUGCCUAACACAUGCAAGUCGCGCGAGAAAGUCUCCGCAAGGGGGCGAGUAAAGCGGCGCACGGGUGCGUAACACGUGGGUAACCUGCCUGAAAGACCGGAAUAACCUUCCGAAAGGAGGGCUAAUACUGGAUAAGACCACGGGGGCUUUGGCCCUUGAGGUAAAAAGAUGGCCUCUGCAUGCAAGCUAUCACUUUCAGAGGGGCCCGCGGCCCAUCAGCUAGUUGGCGGGGUAAUGGCCCACCAAGGCGACGACGGGUAGCUGGUCUGAGAGGACGAUCAGCCACACUGGAACUGAGACACGGUCCAGACUCCUACGGGAGGCAGCAGUGGGGAAUUUUGCGCAAUGGGCGAAAGCCUGACGCAGCAACGCCGCGUGAGUGAUGAAGGUCUUCGGAUCGUAAAGCUCUUUCGGCCGGGACGAAAACGGCUGGGCUAAUAUCCCAGUCCUUGACGGUACCGGAAGAAGAAGCACCGGCUAACUCUGUGCCAGCAGCCGCGGUAAUACAGAGGGUGCGAGCGUUGUUCGGAAUCAUUGGGCGUAAAGCGCGUGUAGGCGGUGACGCAUGUCGGGUGUGAAAGCCCUCGGCUUAACCGGGGAAGUGCGCCCGAAACUGCGUCGCUGGAGUGCCGGAGAGGGUGGCGGAAUUCCCGGUGUAGAGGUGAAAUUCGUAGAUAUCGGGAGGAACACCAGUGGCGAAGGCGGCCACCUGGACGGACACUGACGCUGAGACGCGAAAGCGUGGGUAGCAAACAGGAUUAGAUACCCUGGUAGUCCACGCCGUAAACGAUGGAAACUAGGUGUGGCGGGUGUUGACCCCUGCCGUGCCGAAGCUAACGCAUUAAGUUUCCCGCCUGGGAAGUACGGCCGCAAGGUUAAAACUCAAAUGAAUUGACGG